rnacentral:pre_miRNA from 1 species
AGUGGUAUUGCUGGAUCAUACGGUAAUUCUGUUUAACUAUUUAAGGAACUGUCAAACUGUUUUCCACAGUGGCUAUACCAUUUUGCAUUUCCACCAGCAGU